rnacentral:rRNA from 1 species
UACGUAGGUGGCAAGCGUUGUCCGGAUUUAUUGGGUUUAAAGGGUGCGUAGGCGGUUUUUUAAGUCAGUGGUGAAAUACGGCAGCUCAACUGUCGAGGUGCCAUUGAUACUGGGGAAACUUGAGUACUGAUGAGGUAGGCGGAAUGGACGGUGUAGCGGUGAAAAUGCUUAGAUAUCGUCCAGAACACCGAUAGCGAAGGCAGCUUACUAAGGAGUAAACUGACGCUGAGGCACGAAAAGUGUGGGGGGAUCAAAACAGGG